UAGGGAAUCUUCCACAAUGGACGCAAGUCUGAUGGAGCAACGCCGCGUGAGUGAAGACGGUUUUCGGAUCGUAAAGCCCUGUUGUUGGUGAAGAAGGAUAGAGGCAGUAACUGGUCUUUAUUUGACGGUAAUCAACCAGAAAGUCACGGCUAACUACGUGCCAGCAGCCGCGGUAAUACGUAGGUGGCAAGCGUUGUCCGGAUUUAUUGGGCGUAAAGCGAGCGCAGGCGGAAUGAUAAGUCUGAUGUGAAAGCCCACGGCUCAACCGUGGAACUGCAUCGGAAACUGUCAGUCUUGAGUGCAGAAGAGGAGAGUGGAAUUCCAUGUGUAGCGGUGGAAUGCGUAGAUAUAUGGAAGAACACCAGUGGCGAAGGCGGCUCUCUGGUCUGCAACUGACGCUGAGGCUCGAAAGCAUGGGUAGCGAACAGG
rnacentral:rRNA from 1 species